rnacentral:rRNA from 1 species
GAACGAGAGAGAGGGAGCUUGCUUCCUCAAUCGAGUGGCGAACGGGUGAGUAACGCGUGAGGAACCUGCCUCAAAGAGGGGGACAACAGUUGGAAACGACUGCUAAUACCGCAUAAGCCCACAGGUCGGCAUCGACCAGAGGGAAAAGGAGCAAUCCGCUUUGAGAUGGCCUCGCGUCCGAUUAGCUAGUUGGUGAGGUAAUGGCCCACCAAGGCAACGAUCGGUAGCCGGACUGAGAGGUUGAACGGCCACAUUGGGACUGAGACACGGCCCAGACUCCUACGGGAGGCAGCAGUGGGGAAUAUUGCACAAUGGGGGAAACCCUGAUGCAGCGACGCCGCGUGGAGGAAGAAGGUCUUCGGAUUGUAAACUCCUGUUGUUGAGGAAGAUAAUGACGGUACUCAACAAGGAAGUGACGGCUAACUACGUGCCAGCAGCCGCGGUAAAACGUAGGUCACAAGCGUUGUCCGGAAUUACUGGGUGUAAAGGGAGCGCAGGCGGGAAGACAAGUUGGAAGUG